rnacentral:rRNA from 1 species
GAUACAGGGUGAUAGUCCCGUAGUUGACGACGUGUGUUCAGUGAAAUCGAGUAGGGCGGGACACGUGAUAUCCUGUCUGAAUAUGGGGGGACCAUCCUCCAAGGCUAAAUACUACUGACUGACCGAUAGUGAACCAGUACCGUGAGGGAAAGGCGAAAAGAACCCCUGUGAGGGGAGUGAAAUAGAACCUGAAACCGUGUACGUACAAGCAGUAGGAGCACCUUCGUGGUGUGACUGCGUACCUUUUGUAUAAUGGGUCAGCGACUUAUAUUCAGUGGCAAGGUUAACCAUCUAGGGGAGCCGUAGGGAAACCGAGUCUUAACUGGGCGUUCAGUCUCUGGAUAUAGACCCGAAACCAGGUGAUCUAGCCAUGGGCAGGUUGAAGGUUGAGUAACAUCAACUGGAGGACCGAACCGACUAAUGUUGAAAAAUUAGCGGAUGACUUGUGGCUAGGGGUGAAAGGCCAAUCAAACCUGGAGAUAGCUGGUUCUCCCCGAAAGCUAUUUAGGUAGCGCCUCGGACGAAUACUACUGGGGGUAGAGCACUGUUAAGGCUAGGGGGUCAUCCCGACUUACCAACCCUUUGCAAACUCCGAAUACCAGUAAGUACUAUCCGGGAGACACACGGCGGGUGCUAACGUCCGUCGUGGAGAGGGAAACAACCCAGACCGCCAGCUAAGGUCCCAAAUUACUACUAAGUGGGAAACGAUGUGGGAAGGCUCAGACAGCCAGGAUGUUGGCUUAGAAGCAGCCAUCAUUUAAAGAAAGCGUAAUAGCUCACUGGUCGAGUCGGCCUGCGCGGAAGAUGUAACGGGGCUAAGUAGUAAACCGAAGCUGCGGCAAUAUACUUUUGUAUAUUGGGUAGGGGAGCGUUCUGUAAGCGGUUGAAGGUGUGUGGUAACGCAUGCUGGACGUAUCAGAAGUGCGAAUGCUGACAUGAGUAACGAUAAAGGGGGUGAAAAACCUCCUCGCCGGAAGACCAAGGGUUCCUGUCCAACGUUAAUCGGGGCAGGGUAAGUCGACCCCUAAGGCGAGGCCGAAAGGCGUAGUCGAUGGGAAACGGGUUAAUAUUCCCGUACUUCUUACAAUUGCGAUGGGGGGACGGAGAAGGCUAGGUGGGCCUGGCGACGGUUGUCCAGGUUCAAGUGCGUAGGCUUAAGAGUUAGGUAAAUCCGGCUCUUUUUAAGGCUGAGACACGACGUCGAGCACCUACGGGUGUGAAGUCAUUGAUGCCAUGCUUCCAGGAAAAGCCUCUAAGCUUCAGAUUGUAAGGAAUCGUACCCCAAACCGACACAGGUGGUCGGGUAGAGAAUACCAAGGCGCUUGAGAGAACUCGGGUGAAGGAACUAGGCAAAAUGGUACCGUAACUUCGGGAGAAGGUACGCUCUUGAUGGUGAAGUCCCUUGCGGAUGGAGCUGACGAGAGUCGCAGAUACCAGGUGGCUGCAACUGUUUAUUAAAAACACAGCACUGUGCAAAAUCGUAAGAUGACGUAUACGGUGUGACGCCUGCCCGGUGCCGGAAGGUUAAUUGAUGGGGUUAGACUUCGGUCGAAGCUCUUGAUCGAAGCCCCGGUAAACGGCGGCCGUAACUAUAACGGUCCUAAGGUAGCGAAAUUCCUUGUCGGGUAAGUUCCGACCUGCACGAAUGGCGUAAUGAUGGCCACGCUGUCUCCACCCGAGACUCAGUGAAAUUGAAAUCGCUGUGAAGAUGCAGUGUACCCGCGGCUAGACGGAAAGACCCCGUGAACCUUUACUACAGCUUGGCACUGAACAUUGACCCUACAUGUGUAGGAUAGGUGGGAGGCUUUGAAGCACGUACGCCAGUAUGUGUGGAGCCGUCCUUGAAAUACCACCCUUGUAGUGUUGAUGUUCUAACGUCGACCCCUUAUCGGGGUUGCGGACAGUGCCUGGUGGGUAGUUUGACUGGGGCGGUCUCCUCCCAAAGAGUAACGGAGGAGCACGAAGGUGGGCUAAUCACGGUUGGACAUCGUGAGGUUAGUGCAAUGGCAUAAGCCCGCUUGACUGCGAGAAUGACAAUUCGAGCAGGUGCGAAAGCAGGUCAUAGUGAUCCGGUGGUUCUGAAUGGAAGGGCCAUCGCUCAACGGAUAAAAGGUACUCCGGGGAUAACAGGCUGAUACCGCCCAAGAGUUCAUAUCGACGGCGGUGUUUGGCACCUCGAUGUCGGCUCAUCACAUCCUGGGGCUGAAGUCGGUCCCAAGGGUAUGGCUGUUCGCCAUUUAAAGUGGUACGCGAGCUGGGUUUAGAACGUCGUGAGACAGUUCGGUCCCUAUCUGCCGUGGGCGUUGGAAGAUUGAAGGGGGCUGCUCCUAGUACGAGAGGACCGGAGUGGACGAACCUCUGGUGUUCGGGUUGUGUCGCCAGACGCAUUGCCCGGUAGCUAAGUUCGGAAUCGAUAACCGCUGAAAGCAUCUAAGCGGGAAGCGAGCCCUGAGAUGAGUCUUCCCUGAUACUUUAAGUAUCCUAAAGGGUUGUCGGAGACUACGACGUUGAUAGGUCAGGUGUGUAAGUGCUGUGAGGCAUUGAGCUAACUGAUACUAAUUGCCCGUGAGGCUUAACC